GUGAAGAAACCGGCCGCCAUCUUACGGUGCUCACAACAGUCGCCGCAGCGAUCAUGGCAACUUCUUGCAAUUACGGUCGUACCAACCGUACUGGCAAGGUUACAGGGCCUAAAUUUAUACAGGUUUCGUCAUGAGGGCUACCCAGUGAAUGAUCUGUGUAGUGUGAUACGGCUGGGUGUACAGGUUACUUCACAGCUGCCUUGACAUACUCAAGAAAUGGGUGCAGAACCUGCGUAAUGCCCACAAACUUUGAUUACCACAGCACCUCCAAAAAGUAUGUGUCACAUGGAAUUUUUAACAUGGGAUUCACAGUAUAUAAUACCUUGUAUUAACUGUUGUAGAUCUAAGCCAUCUCUACAGUACACUCUCAGAAAUUAAAACCGUGAGAACCGUGAUAAUUGUUUCAGUUAAUAGGCAUGCACAUAUAUGCUAUAAGAAGAAAAUUAUUUCUUGAGAAUGCACUUCUCUGGCUACUGGUGUUGUUUACAUCUACUGUUGAUCACAUUCAUUUAUCACAUAUUAUAUUCUUAUAUAUAUUAUUAUAUUAACACAUAUUUGAUCACAUUAAAUUCAAAAUUCAUCAUAUAUAAGAAAAUACCAGGAGGGAAGUUGCUAUUCAUUGCUCAUUCUAACCUAAAAUUGAGUGCUACAAAUUUAGAGAGAGUACCUGUCCAUUGUCAUUCCUAAAAUAUAUAUUGUCAUUGUAGCAAGGUCAUAAAACAAUAAAUGUAGU